GGGCGCAUAGCUCAGCUGGUUCAGAGCACCUGCCUUACAAGCAGGGGGUCCGCGGUUCGAAUCCGUGUGUGCCCA
rnacentral:tRNA from 1 species